rnacentral:lncRNA from 1 species
UUCUCCCUCAUUUCGGCUCCGCUAGCGCGCUGGAAGAUACACAGCAGAGAAACUAAGAGGGCAAAGCCUCGGCCAAAAGUUGAGUGUGGCCUCCGCGAGAAGCAGCAGCGG